rnacentral:rRNA from 1 species
AUGAUUAGAUGUGGUAUUGUUGAGGAGAAUGAAGCUAUGCUUGCACGUUUUCUGGGUGGAUUAAAUAGAGAGAUUCAGACCAUUCUAGACUAUAAGGAGUAUACUAAUAUCACUCGUUUAUUCCAUCUUGCUUGUAAAGCUGAACGUGAAGUGCAGGAUCGACAAGCAUUGGGGCGAACUAACUUUUCUGCAGGCCGACCUUCAUCAUGGACACCACGUGCAUCUUCUAGUUCAACUGCACCAGCACCUCCAGCCGGUGCCACCUCCAGCCGUGAUACAAGAAAACAGGCACAACCACCAUUAUCUGCCAAGAGCGCACCUGCGGGGCCUGCAUAG